CCCAGACUGAUCCUUUGCAUGGAUUUUGCUGCGCCUGUUUCCAAGGCUUAGAGCUCUUUAGGAGGUCUUGUUAUAAAUAUUCAGAUGUACAGAUUUUUAAUGAAGAGUUCGGUGGAUGCAUUCUAGAGGAUAAAUGGUCUGUGAAUGGAAACUUUUCUUCCUCAGAGUACAUCAACGUAGCAAUUGCUUGUAUGAAAAACUCUCCGAGACUCAAAUAAAGAGCAGCAGGAUGAGCUCCAAGGCCAGUAAGCCACUUGUAAAUACAAGUGGGCAUAGCAGCUUACAGAAGGCAGCCCAGUAUUUGUGCUGUUCUAAAGGCAUUGGGAACCAGCCAGCAGCUGAGCAGCAGCUAUUUGCAGAACUUGAAGAUCUACUCUUCGUUCUGCUUCUCUGCAAUUUGUCUCCAUUCCUAGACACCUGGUUCACACCCCCCAUACUCUGAUGAGCCACUCUUGGGCUACCGUUUCUUACAGCUGGCUGCUUUCAGCUGUUUCAAAUCUGGGCUGGAAUCACCUGGCUUUAAUUUAAGUAGCAAACAAAGGCAGCCUUCCCUAUGGGUGUGCUUUAGUUUCAUUGGGGUUGAGUUCCACAAAGAAGAAGUGCGCUGAGUGUGAUGCUUUAACAAAAGCAGCAUAUGUCCUAACAAGAAAUAAGGUCCUCUGCUGCUUUCUUCAUAUUGCCAUGCUGUCUUCAAAGGGCGCAUGGACAUCCAGGAGAUGGAUGCUCUGCAAAGCACCUAUGCCUGCAGGGAAAGCCGAAGGCGAAGAGCUGUGUCCUGGUGGCUAUUGCUUCUGUAACAACCACUCAGAUGAGGACUUCCCACGUUUUCCUCAGUGCCCCCGUGCUGCAGCUCUUCUUCAGGCUGGAAUGGUUGGGGUUCCUUCUGCAUCCAUCUGAUGUAGUGGCAUCUCAAAGGCUUUGCGCAGGUGUCCCUUGCUCCCAAGAGGAUGCUAUCAGGGGACAGCAGUGUCCAUGUCAAAUGUACAGACCUGAGGGCCAAAGGGUAAUUAAAAACAUCAUGAAAGUAAUUUGGUCGCUGAACCUGCUGUGGGUCCUGGGCAUCUUAAGGAGCAAAUACCACCAUGGUUUUUUCCCCUCAGGAAUACAAGGCUAACAGGACAACAGCUCAUCUGUGCAAAGCCCUGACUGCUCUCAAUUUGAAAAAAGCCUGUAGCUGAAUCUGCUGCAGUUUUAUAACACAACCACUAUUAAUGUAGCUGUCCAAACAGUUUGUAGGUUAGGGAAAAGAGAAAACUGCAGUACCAGUUCAUUUGUAGGAAGAUCGGAGGAGCAGCACCAGUGCCAUGUCUACAUGCCUUGGAGGGACCUGCUGUGCCAUACAACCAGCACACUUCCUCUACUGAUAUAUAGAGAGUUUAUAUGCAUAUAUAGGUAUGCAUCAGUGUCACAAAGAUUGUAAAAGGAUGGGGGCGUCUAAUGCACUGGUGAUGCAGUGGCACAGCUGCGCUGGAGUGGUGGGGUCACCAUCCCUGGAGGUGUUUCAGAACCAUGGAGAUGUCGCACUGAGGGAUGUGGGCAGCGGGCAUGGUGAGCUGGGCUGGGGUUGGGCUCGGGGGUCUUGGAGAGCUUUUCCUGAAUGAUUCUGUGAGCCUAUGAUCUCUCAUAGAAGGACAGGCUGAGAGAGCUGGCACUGCUCAGCCUGGAGAAGGCUCAGGGGGAUCCCAUCCACAUGUAUAAAUACCUGAUGGGGGCAAUAAGAUGGAACCAUUCUCUUCUCAGUGUUGCCCCAAUGAGGCAACAGGACAGGAAGCAAUGGACAAAGAUGAAAAUAAAACAAAAGUAACAAAAAAAUCCUACAAAAACAAACAAACAAACAAAAAAACAGCAAAAUCAAUCAGGAAAUUCCAUUUAAACAUAAGAAAAUCCUUCUUUAAAUUGCCACCUUGUUUGAACAUGGGAGCAGUUGCACAUUGAGGUGGUGGAUUCUCUGUCCCUGGAGAUGGACAACGCCAGGCUGGAAGCACUGGACAACCUGCUCCAACCAGCCCCGCUCUUUUUGGACCAGACAGUCUCUAGAGCUGCCUCCAGACUCAGUGCAUUUAUUUUAUGUUUCUGUAAUGAUUCUAUAAACUUUGUUUUUCCAAAAACGAUAGUGGGUUUAUCCUGCACAACUUUUAAAUCUGGUAGCUUGUUACAUUUUGUAGCUUCAUUUUGGUCCAUGGGAAGCAUAUUCCUGUGGAUGAAAGAGAUGCAGGGUUUAUUAAUCUGUCCAUUUUACAUUAACUAUCUGGGCAAAAUGAUAGGCAUUUCUUAUUUGAAACUUGUUAUAAAGAAACAUAUGGUCACGUACAUGAAGUGAGAAUAAUUUCAAGUUUGAAAUUCCAUCUAGACGCAGACAUGAAUACCCAAUAGCAACAAAGGAAAUUUGAAAGCAGUUUAGACUAAGCCUGGGGUAUAAUAAUCUGCAAAUGAAAUGCAAAUUCCUCUCAGCAGGAGUGCAAUAUGCUGUUGUCUCAACAGGGGUACUAUUUACUGUUGCUUUGGAAACGUGCAGGAGGGAAGCAUGGGCCAUUGCUUCGACAGAGGGUAAAGGCAGCUUGUACCUUUCUUCUGCUUGAAUUCCAAACCUGGCUUUUGGAAGUGGGCUGUUCACCCUAAUAGGAUGGGUUGUGCAAUAAUUAACAGUAAUUGCAUUCAUAUAAAGUCCUGUGGAAACCUCUGCUCACUCCUGGCCCUUCAUAUCACACAUCAGAACUGCCUUCCUGAUUCCCAACUUAACGCAGUCUUAGAGAUAUCCUCAUUGGGGAGCGAUGCUUAAACACUCCUACAUUCAUUAGAGCUGAACUAUCACUGUACUUCUGACAUCUCUCCAUUGCUGCUGGAUUGCUGGUAAGCAGCUUGACGGCUCUUUCAUCCACAAACAUUCCUCCCUUCAGCUGCUGGUACACAGCACUGUGCCUGGAAACCUUUCACACCUCCAUCUUUAUGGCCACAUAGAAGAAUCGUGUAACUAGAACUGCAAUCUGCAGCCGAUUGCAAUAGAAAAGGAAAUUAGUAUCCUGCAUUUAAUUAAUAUUUGUACUGAGAGAAUUGUUAAAAUCUAGCCAGCUGUUACCAUCCCUUUCAUUACUUUAAAUGUUGAUAACAUUUGUCUCAUACCAAAAAUACUUCAGCAACCAAAGCACUCAUGAAGACCGAUGGUGGAAAUUGAAAGAGAUUGUAUUUAUCACAGCAUCAAAGCUGCAAAUGCAGUGAGUGUGGAUGGGGGCGAGUUCUACUGUGCCAUACAACAGAAUCAGUACCAUUGCUCAGUGCUCCAAUAUUCUCAGAAAGAAAUGACUCCCAUGUUCAGAGAAACCAAACUUGUUUCUAAAGUGACAUAAAUUGUCAUUUCUUAAGUGAUCAGGCAAAAAAGUUAGAAGAAUAGUAACAACAAAAGACUGUCUGGAGAUACACUGUUGUUGUGUUUUAGUGAUUGUUGUUGUCAGUAUUUAACAUUAGAACAUCAUGCAGAACAAUGGCAGUUAAGGUUCUGGUUCCAUGUUACCGCCUUUUUGGGCAUUUUGUGUUCCCGGAGGGGAGGAGCGGCAUCCCCAGCGGACUUGGACAGAAGAGGAAGUAAGAUGGAGCUCUGGACUGGACCCCAGCCGCUCUCUGCCUCUGGCCGUCUUAGCCUGCCGUGGAGAAAAGCACGUGCUUCCCUAGCACUAUCGUGGUUUGACUCGUGCUUUAAAUACUCUCGGCUCUCUCAUUUUGUUUGAUUAAAUUUAGUAAAAUACCAUUCCUCCUCAG
rnacentral:lncRNA from 1 species